UACGGAGGGUGCAAGCGUUAUCCGGAUUCACUGGGUUUAAAGGGAGCGUAGGUGGGCUGGUAAGUCAGUGGUGAAAUCUCUGAGCUUAACUCGGAAACUGCCAUUGAUACUAUCAGUCUUGAAUACCGUGGAGGUCAGCGGAAUAUGUCAUGUAGCGGUGAAAUGCUUAGAUAUGACAUAGAACACCAAUUGCGAAGGCAGCUGGCUACACGAAUAUUGACACUCAGGCUCGAAAGCGUGGGGAUCAAACAGGAUUAGAUACCCUGGUAGUCCACGCCCUAAACUAUGGAUACUCGACAUACGCGAUACACUGUGUGCGUCUGAGCGAAAGCAUUAAGUAUCCCACCUGGGAAGUACGAUCGCAAGAUUGAA
rnacentral:rRNA from 1 species